UUUUUUCUUUUUUAGUAAGGAUCGUCCCCUCCCUUUUCAAACCCUUUCUAGCUUGUAGAUUACAAUCAUUCUGAAACAGGGGAGGAAGAGAGUUUGAAGACACUAUUUUUAGGGAAAAUAGUACCAGGUAGAAGGGAGAAGGGCACAUGAGGAGUCUUUGUCUGGGGUCAGUUCCAAGAAAUAAAUAGUAGCCAGAAAUCCAGGUAAAACAGCAUCGUGGCUAAGCCUGGUGGCUCACUUUGGGAGGCCAAGGCAGGUGGAUCACCUGAGGUCAGGAGUUUGAGACCAACCUGGCCAACGUGGUGAAACCCCUCUCUCUACUAAAAAUACAAAAAUUAGCCAGGUGUGGUGGCAUGUGCCUGUAGUCCCAGCUACUCGGGAGGUUGAGGGAGGAAAAUCGCUUGAACUCAAGAGGCGGAGGUUGCAGUGAGCCGAGAUCGCACCACUGCACUCCAGUCUGGGUGACAGAGAGAGACUUAAUCUCCAAAAAAAAAAACAAAAAAAGUCUUAAAUCUAUUAUGACACUCAAAUUUCCUAUUGUAGGGAACCCGAUAAGUGACAGUCCUCUUGGGUUGGUAAGUUUGCCUUUUCUGUACAAAAUGAAAAUUGCCUUUAUCACCUUCUUUUUUCCAAAAAGUCCUGCUCUUGCCUCUUCCCCUUACUUUGCCCCUCAGUUGCUGCCCAGGUCCAGUCAGAAUUGUAAACAUAAGACCAUAUUUUCCCCCUUGGCUAGAUUUCUGAGACCAUGUCUGUAACAGAAUGUCUAUUCUUACUUGCAAAGCUGGUGUUAAAAGUUGCCUUUGGCAGUUUAAGGAUGGGGAGUUUUCUUCACUGUGCCUUCAUGAACUGUGAGCAACUCUGGAAAGGAGGAGUCACAGGCAUCUGUCUGCUUCCUCCUGAAGGUCCCAGUUGAGAAGAAAGCAGUAGGAGCUGUGAUGAGGAAACGAAAACACAUGGACGAGCCCAGCUCCCCCAGCAGGCCNNNNNNNNNNNNNNNNNNNN
rnacentral:lncRNA from 1 species